rnacentral:rRNA from 1 species
AGAGUUUGAUCCUGGCUCAGAUUGAACGCUGGCGGUAGGCUUAACACAUGCAAGUCGUGCGAGAAAGUAUCUUCGGAUAUGAGUAGAGCGGCGGACGGGUGAGUAACGCGUAGGAAUCUACCUAGUAGAAGGGGAUAGCCCGAGGAAACUCGGAUUAAUACCGUAUACCUCCUUCGGGAGAAAGAAGGCCUCUCUUUGAAGCUUUCGCUACUAGAUGAGCCUGCGUAAGAUUAGCUUGUUGGUGAGGUAAAGGCUCACCAAGGCAACGAUCUUUAGCUGGUCUGAGAGGACGAUCAGCCACAUUGGGACUGAGACACGGCCCAGACUCCUACGGGAGGCAGCAGUGGGGAAUAUUGGACAAUGGGCGCAAGCCUGAUCCAGCCAUACCGCGUGUGUGAAGAAGGCCUUCGGGUUGUAAAGCACUUUAAGCAGGGAGAAAAAGUUAUAAGCUAAUACCUUAUAACCUUGAUGUUACCUGCAGAGUAAGCACCGGCUAAUUCCGUGCCAGCAGCCGCGGUAAUACGGAAGGUGCAAGCGUUAAUCGGAAUUACUGGGCGUAAAGCGCGCGUAGGUGGUUUGUUAAGUUGGAUGUGAAAGCCCUGGGCUCAACCUAGGAACUGCAUCCAAAACUAACUCACUAGAGUACGAUAGAGGGAGGUAGAAUUCAUAGUGUAGCGGUGGAAUGCGUAGAUAUUAUGAAGAAUACCAGUGGCGAAGGCGGCCUCCUGGAUCUGUACUGACACUGAGGUGCGAAAGCGUGGGUAGCGAACAGGAUU